UACGGGGGGAGCAAGCGUUGUUCGGAUUUACUGGGCGUAAAGGGCGCGUAGGCGGCCAGCACAAGUCAGUUGUGGAAUCUCCGAGCUUAACUCGGAAAGGUCAACUGAUACUGUGCGGCUAGAGUGCGGAAGGGGCAACUGGAAUUCUUGGUGUAGCGGUGAGAUGCGUAGAUAUCAAGAGGAACACCUGCGGCGAAGGCGGGUUGCUGGGCCGACACUGACGCUGAGGCGCGAAAGCCAGGGGAGCGAACGGG
rnacentral:rRNA from 1 species